rnacentral:pre_miRNA from 1 species
AGGUGCCAUUCUGAGGGCCAGGAGUUUGAUUAUGUAUCACUCUGGCUGCUAUGGCCCCCUC